UCUGCAUUAACACUAGCUGAACUAUCCAGGAAACCUAAGAGUGUGUAAAAUAAAAAGGGAAGUAACAGACUUCAUGUUCUAAAUUACUGCCACUUUUUACCUUAAAAUACACUAGCUUUAUAUUUUCUUCAGUAUAAGUAAAGAAACUGAAUGAAGAUCAGACAGCAGUCACGUAUUGCCCCAUGAGACACCUCCCUCCACAAAUAGUCUGGUAUCAAACCUCUGCUUGAUUCUGUGCCUACUGUCCCAGUCUUGGGUAAAUUCUCGUUUUAGAAAAGCAGAUGUGCAAAAAAGCAAAUUUUUUCACUAACUAACAAGCAUUAGUAUCACCACCUCUCAGAGGUGUGUGGGAAGACAAAAAUGAGUCAGGGUGGAGGCCGGCCACAAGUGGUGUCCCUCAGGGGUCGGUCUUGGGACUGGUGCUCUGCAACAUAUGUAUCAGUGACUCGAUGCCAGUGAUGGCAUCGAGUGCACCCUCAGCAAGCUUGCAGACAACACCAAGCUGAGUGGUGCAGCCAAUACACUGGGGGGAAGGGAAGCCAUCCAGAGGGACCUAGACAGGCUGGAGAAGUGGGCCCACGCAAAAGGCGUUGCACUUGGGCCGGGGCAACCCCAGGUGUUCACACAGACUGGGCGAAGAACCCCUUGAGAGCAGCCCUGUGGAGAAGGACUUGAGAAUCCUGGCAGACAAGAAGCUGAACAUGAGCCAGCAGUGUGCGCUUGCAGCCCGGAAGGCCAACUAUAUCCUGGGCCGCACUGGAAGAGGAGUGGCCUGCAGGGAGAGGGAGGUGAUUGUCCCCCUCUACUCGGCUCUUGUGAGGCCCCAUCUGGAGAACUGCGUCCAGGCCUGGGGCCUCCAGCACAAGAAGGACUGAGAGCUCUUAGAACGAGUCCAGAGGAGGGCCACUAAGAUGAUCAGAGGGCUGGAGCACCUCUCCUGUGAGGAAAGCUUGAGGGAACUGGGCUUGCGUAGCUUAGAGGAGAGGAGGCUCUGCGGAGACCCCGUUGUGGCCUUCCAGAACUUGAAGGGAGCAUAUAAACAGGAGGGGCAACGGCUGUUUACGAGGGUGGAUAGUGAUAGGACUAGGGGAGUGGUUGUAAACUGAGACAGGGGAGGUUUAGGUUAGAUAUUAGGAGGAAGUUCUUCACUCAGAGUGUGGUGAAGCAGUGGAACAGGUUGCCCAAGGAGGUUGUGGAGGCCCCGUUCCUGGAGGCAUUCAAGACCAGGCUGGAUGUGGCUCUGGGCAGCCGGGUCUGGUGGUUGGCGACCCUGCCUGUGGCAGGGGGGUUGGAACUAGGUGAUCACUGUGGUCCUUUUCAAGCCAGGCCAUCCCAUGAUUCUGUGAUUCUACGAUUCUACAGUUCAACGAUUCUAUGAUUCUCUUCCUUUACCCAGUGACGCUGUAACUCCAUCCCAGCGGGGGCCUGGCCCCGCUUCCCUGCUAAGAACUCUCCCAGUUGCAUGCAUUUGUCACUGUGUCACUGUGAUGUCAUAAAGCCUCUGCGGUCAGCCAGCAACUGGUGCUGCUGCCCGCCACUCAGUUGCUGCGCAGACACUGGUGCUGCUGGUGACUUGAUUGAGCUCAGGUCAGAGUGACGGCCAGAGAGCAAGUUGUAGGAAGGUGCAAUGCUCAGCCCGAGGCUUUCCCUACUCCUCGUCUUCUGCUUGCCCUUCCUGUUUGUGGGCAGCCUUGCCCAUUCCGGACGCCCCUCCUGGGCCACGGUUAUGUGGGAUGUGGAUCCCCAGGACGUGGAGAAGCCGGGCACUGGCAAGGCAAGCCGGUACUACCACCUACCCUACCCCCUGGACCAGCUUUGGUCUUCAUUUGAGCACCUGGACCCAUGGGGACCCGUGGAGGCGCUCUACAAGAGGAGCACAGAGCUGGGCCUUUUCCUCGUGGUGAUUUACCUGUGGAGAACACUCAGGAGGUGCCGCAGCAGAGAGGAGAGGAGCCAGGUACUCUCAGCUGCCCCAGAGACACACUGCCAGAACAGCUCCUGCAAACACUGCAAGCUGCUCCGCCAAAUGAAGGCAAACCCUGCCUUCAUGGAGAUAUACCUACAGCAUGUGAGACACAUGCAGGAGGAUCUUUGCAGGAGGCAAGAGAAGGCAAAGCCGUGAGAAGAUGGGGAAGAAAACAGAGACUCUUCUCUGCAUACCGGCACAAGCAUAGCUCCCAGGUAGCUCCAGAGCAGCUGUAAAGUGAAGGGGAUCCGGCCAGAGACACCACCACUGUGCAUAGGGAGGGCACUGCUACAGGACAGGAAAGGAGCAGGAAGCUGUCCAGCUCCAGAAGCAACAAGGCCGGAAGGAAAGAGACCCCUAAGACUGCUCAAUAUUGCUGUAUGCUUCUAGAAUAAAUGUGCUUGCUUUUAUUACAUCAAAAGCGCGCAUUUGCUUUCUCUCGGUCUCUUGUAGCAUGAGAGAGGGUGGUUCUGAAGCAGCGACUUCUUCCCACCUCACUUUCUGCUAAGGAGUGCUUUCCUGAACACUGUGGUGCCUGAAAUAGUGAACUGUGGCCCAAAGGAAAGACAUAUUCAGUAGUACUUCAGAGUCAUGUGAACUCAUCAAGCACGCAGCAACCUGGACACUGAAGAGUGCUGCUGACUGCUGGUAAUACCACUCAGCCCUACUGCCCAUGGACACAGCACUGAGGGCAAGCACAGGUCAGGGGGCGCUGAGGCAACAUCCCUGUGCUGGCACAGGUAGUCCUUACUGAGCAUUUUGGAUCACAGCCUCCUGGGCCCCAGUGGACAGGCAGAUCACAGAAUCACAGAAUGGUCUGGGUUGGCAGGGACCUUUAUGACUACCUAGUUCCAACCCUCCUGCUGUAGGCAGGGACACCUGCCUCUAGACCAGGUAGCUCAAAGCCCCAUCCAGCCUGGCCGUGAACGCCUCCAGAGAAGGGGCAUCCACAACCUCUCUGGGCAGCCUGUUCCUAUGUCUCACCGCCCUUGCGGGAAAGAAUUCCUUAACGUGGAAUGAUCGUAGAGUCCUCAGAGUUGGAAGGGACAUUGAAAGGUCACCUAUUCCAGUGGUCCCUGCAAUGAACAGGAGCAAUGCACAGCAUCAUCAGGUUGCCCAGGGUCUGAUCCAGCCAGGUGCAGGACAGCACAUGGCCUUGCUGAACUCCAUGAGGUUGGCACGGGCUCAUCUCUCAGGCCUGCCCAGGUCCCUCUGAGUGGCAUCCCUUCCCUCUAGCGUGUCAACUGCACCACUCAGCUUGGUGUCGUCUGCAAACUUGCUGAGGGUGCGCUCGAUCCCACUGUCUGUGUCGCCUAUAAAGAUGUGAAAGGGCACCGGUCCCAGCACCGAUCCCUGAGGAACACCACUCGUCAACAGUCUCCCCUUGGGCACUGAGCCAUUGACCGCAACUCUCUUGAGUGUGACCACACAGCCAGCUCCUUAUCCAGCAAGCGGUCCAUCCAUCAAAUCCAAUCUGGUGACCAGGAUGUUGCGUGAGACAGUGUCAAACGCUUUGAACAAGUCCAGGUGGACAACAUCAGUUGCUCUUUGGUUGCCGAGCCGCUCUCCAUCAUAUUUGAAAUAUCAUGGCUGUGCGGUGCAGUCCCCGGUGACUGGGAAAAGGGAACAUUACUCCCAUUUUUUAGACAGGGAGAAAGGAAGACCUGGGGAACUACUGGCCGGUGAGCCUCACCUCUGUGCCUGGGAAGAUCAUGGAGCAGAUCCUCCUAGAAUCUACGUUAAAGCACAUACGGGAUAAAGAGGUGAUUUGAGACAUGGCUUCACCAAGGGCAGAUCGUGCCUGACCAAUCUGGUGGCCUUCUAUGAUGGAGUGAUGGCAUCGGUGAAUGGGGGAAGGUGACGGAUGUCAUCUACCUGGACUUCUGCAAAGCCUUUGACAUGGUCCCUCACCACAUCCUUCUCUCUAAAUUGGAGAGGCAUGGAUCUGAAGGAUGGACUGUUUGGUGGAUUAAGAAUUGGUUGCCAGGUCGCAGCCAAAGGGUUGUGAUCAGUGGUUCUGCGUCAGCGUGGAGGCCAGUCACAAGCGGUGUCCCUCAGGGGUCGGUCUUGGGACUGGUGCUCUGCAACAUAUGUAUCAGUGACUCGAUGCCAGUGAUGGCAUCGAGUGCACCCUCAGCAAGCUUGCAGACAACACCAAGCUGAGUGGUGCAGCCAAUACACUGGGGGGAAGGGAAGCCAUCCAGAGGGACCUAGACAGGCUGGAGAAGUGGGCCCACGCAAAAGGCGUUGCACUUGGGCCGGGGCAACCCCAGGUGUUCACACAGACUGGGCGAAGAACCCCUUGAGAGCAGCCCUGUGGAGAAGGACUUGAGAAUCCUGGCAGACAAGAAGCUGAACAUGAGCCAGCAGUGUGCGCUUGCAGCCCGGAAGGCCAACUAUAUCCUGGGCCGCACUGGAAGAGGAGUGGCCUGCAGGGAGAGGGAGGUGAUUGUCCCCCUCUACUCGGCUCUUGUGAGGCCCCAUCUGGAGAACUGCGUCCAGGCCUGGGGCCUCCAGCACAAGAAGGACUGAGAGCUCUUAGAACGAGUCCAGAGGAGGGCCACUAAGAUGAUCAGAGGGCUGGAGCACCUCUCCUGUGAGGAAAGCUUGAGGGAACUGGGCUUGCGUAGCUUAGAGGAGAAGAGGCUCUGCGGAGACCCCGUUGUGGCCUUCCAGAACUUGAAGGGAGCAUAUAAACAGGAGGGGCAACGGCUGUUUACGAGGGUGGAUAGUGAUAGGACUAGGGGAGUGGUUGUAAACUGAGACAGGGGAGGUUUAGGUUAGAUAUUAGGAGGAAGUUCUUCACUCAGAGUGUGGUGAAGCAGUGGAACAGGUUGCCCAAGGAGGUUGUGGAGGCCCCGUUCCUGGAGGCAUUCAAGACCAGGCUGGAUGUGGCUCUGGGCAGCCGGGUCUGGUGGUUGGCGACCCUGCCUGUGGCAGGGGGGUUGGAACUAGGUGAUCACUGUGGUCCUUUUCAAGCCAGGCCAUCCCAUGAUUCUGUGAUUCUACGAUUCUACAGUUCAACGAUUCUAUGAUUCUCUUCCUUUACCCAGUGACGCUGUAACUCCAUCCCAGUGGGGGCCUGGCCCCGCUUCCCUGCUAAGAACUCUCCCAGUUGCAUGCAUUUGUCACUGUGUCACUGUGAUGUCAUAAAGCCUCUGCGGUCAGCCAGCAACUGGUGCUGCUGCCCGCCACUCAGUUGCUGCGCAGACACUGGUGCUGCUGGUGACUUGAUUGAGCUCAGGUCAGAGUGACGGCCAGAGAGCAAGUUGUAGGAAGGUGCAAUGCUCAGCCCGAGGCUUUCCCUACUCCUCGUCUUCUGCUUGCCCUUCCUGUUUGUGGGCAGCCUUGCCCAUUCCGGACGCCCCUCCUGGGCCACGGUUAUGUGGGAUGUGGAUCCCCAGGACGUGGAGAAGCCGGGCACUGGCAAGGCAAGCCGGUACUACCACCUACCCUACCCCCUGGACCAGCUUUGGUCUUCAUUUGAGCACCUGGACCCAUGGGGACCCGUGGAGGCGCUCUACAAGAGGAGCACAGAGCUGGGCCUUUUCCUCGUGGUGAUUUACCUGUGGAGAACACUCAGGAGGUGCCGCAGCAGAGAGGUGAGGAAUGGAGGUCAGGCAAGCCAGACGGUGCCUGAGUUUCUCAGGAAGGGGCACAGCCCAGAGGCAGGGAUCUCGGGGCCCCGAGGCCCCUGCCCUUUGCAUCACGCCCCCUGCUCUGUCAUUCCCAGGAGAGGAGCCAGGUACUCUCAGCUGCCCCAGAGACACACUGCCAGAACAGCUCCUGCAAACACUGCAAGCUGCUCCGCCAAAUGAAGGCAAACCCUGCCUUCAUGGAGAUAUACCUACAGCAUGUGAGACACAUGCAGGAGGAUCUUUGCAGGAGGCAAGAGAAGGCAAAGCCGUGAGAAGAUGGGGAAGAAAACAGAGACUCUUCUCUGCAUACCGGCACAAGCAUAGCUCCCAGGUAGCUCCAGAGCAGCUGUAAAGUGAAGGGGAUCCGGCCAGAGACACCACCACUGUGCAUAGGGAGGGCACUGCUACAGGACAGGAAAGGAGCAGGAAGCUGUCCAGCUCCAGAAGCAACAAGGCCGGAAGGAAAGAGACCCCUAAGACUGCUCAAUAUUGCUGUAUGCUUCUAGAAUAAAUGUGCUUGCUUUUAUUACAUCAAAAGCGCGCAUUUGCUUUCUCUCGGUCUCUUGUAGCAUGAGAGAGGGUGGUUCUGAAGCAGCGACUUCUUCCCACCUCACUUUCUGCUAAGGAGUGCUUUCCUGAACACUGUGGUGCCUGAAAUAGUGAACUGUGGCCCAAAGGAAAGACAUAUUCAGUAGUACUUCAGAGUCAUGUGAACUCAUCAAGCACGCAGCAACCUGGACACUGAAGAGUGCUGCUGACUGCUGGUAAUACCACUCAGCCCUACUGCCCAUGGACACAGCACUGAGGGCAAGCACAGGUCAGGGGGCGCUGAGGCAACAUCCCUGUGCUGGCACAGGUAGUCCUUACUGAGCAUUUUGGAUCACAGCCUCCUGGGCCCCAGUGGACAGGCAGAUCACAGAAUCACAGAAUGGUCUGGGUUGGCAGGGACCUUUAUGACUACCUAGUUCCAACCCUCCUGCUGUAGGCAGGGACACCUGCCUCUAGACCAGGUAGCUCAAAGCCCCAUCCAGCCUGGCCGUGAACGCCUCCAGAGAAGGGGCAUCCACAACCUCUCUGGGCAGCCUGUUCCUAUGUCUCACCGCCCUUGCGGGAAAGAAUUCCUUAACGUGGAAUGAUCGUAGAGUCCUCAGAGUUGGAAGGGACAUUGAAAGGUCACCUAUUCCAGUGGUCCCUGCAAUGAACAGGAGCAAUGCACAGCAUCAUCAGGUUGCCCAGGGUCUGAUCCAGCCAGGUGCAGGACAGCACAUGGCCUUGCUGAACUCCAUGAGGUUGGCACGGGCUCAUCUCUCAGGCCUGCCCAGGUCCCUCUGAGUGGCAUCCCUUCCCUCUAGCGUGUCAACUGCACCACUCAGCUUGGUGUCGUCUGCAAACUUGCUGAGGGUGCGCUCGAUCCCACUGUCUGUGUCGCCUAUAAAGAUGUGAAAGGGCACCGGUCCCAGCACCGAUCCCUGAGGAACACCACUCGUCAACAGUCUCCCCUUGGGCACUGAGCCAUUGACCGCAACUCUCUUGAGUGUGACCACACAGCCAGCUCCUUAUCCAGCAAGCGGUCCAUCCAUCAAAUCCAAUCUGGUGACCAGGAUGUUGCGUGAGACAGCGUCAAACGCUUUGAACAAGUCCAGGUGGAUAACAUCAGUUGCUCUUUGGUUGCCGAGCCGCUCUCCAUCAUAUUUGAAAUAUCAUGGCUGUGCGGUGCAGUCCCCGGUGACUGGGAAAAGGGAACAUUACUCCCAUUUUUUAGACAGGGAGAAAGGAAGACCUGGGGAACUACUGGCCGGUGAGCCUCACCUCUGUGCCUGGGAAGAUCAUGGAGCAGAUCCUCCUAGAAUCUACGUUAAAGCACAUACGGGAUAAAGAGGUGAUUUGAGACAUGGCUUCACCAAGGGCAGAUCGUGCCUGACCAAUCUGGUGGCCUUCUAUGAUGGAGUGAUGGCAUCGGUGAAUGGGGGAAGGUGACGGAUGUCAUCUACCUGGACUUCUGCAAAGCCUUUGACAUGGUCCCUCACCACAUCCUUCUCUCUAAAUUGGAGAGGCAUGGAUCUGAAGGAUGGACUGUUUGGUGGAUUAAGAAUUGGUUGCCAGGUCGCAGCCAAAGGGUUGUGAUCAGUGGUUCUGCGUCAGCGUGGAGGCCAGUCACAAGCGGUGUCCCUCAGGGGUCGGUCUUGGGACUGGUGCUCUGCAACAUAUGUAUCAGUGACUCGAUGCCAGUGAUGGCAUCGAGUGCACCCUCAGCAAGCUUGCAGACAACACCAAGCUGAGUGGUGCAGCCAAUACACUGGGGGGAAGGGAAGCCAUCCAGAGGGACCUAGACAGGCUGGAGAAGUGGGCCCACGCAAAAGGCGUUGCACUUGGGCCGGGGCAACCCCAGGUGUUCACACAGACUGGGCGAAGAACCCCUUGAGAGCAGCCCUGUGGAGAAGGACUUGAGAAUCCUGGCAGACAAGAAGCUGAACAUGAGCCAGCAGUGUGCGCUUGCAGCCCGGAAGGCCAACUAUAUCCUGGGCCGCACUGGAAGAGGAGUGGCCUGCAGGGAGAGGGAGGUGAUUGUCCCCCUCUACUCGGCUCUUGUGAGGCCCCAUCUGGAGAACUGCGUCCAGGCCUGGGGCCUCCAGCACAAGAAGGACUGAGAGCUCUUAGAACGAGUCCAGAGGAGGGCCACUAAGAUGAUCAGAGGGCUGGAGCACCUCUCCUGUGAGGAAAGCUUGAGGGAACUGGGCUUGCGUAGCUUAGAGGAGAGGAGGCUCUGCGGAGACCCCGUUGUGGCCUUCCAGAACUUGAAGGGAGCAUAUAAACAGGAGGGGCAACGGCUGUUUACGAGGGUGGAUAGUGAUAGGACUAGGGGAGUGGUUGUAAACUGAGACAGGGGAGGUUUAGGUUAGAUAUUAGGAGGAAGUUCUUCACUCAGAGUGUGGUGAAGCAGUGGAACAGGUUGCCCAAGGAGGUUGUGGAGGCCCCGUUCCUGGAGGCAUUCAAGACCAGGCUGGAUGUGGCUCUGGGCAGCCGGGUCUGGUGGUUGGCGACCCUGCCUGUGGCAGGGGGGUUGGAACUAGGUGAUCACUGUGGUCCUUUUCAAGCCAGGCCAUCCCAUGAUUCUGUGAUUCUACGAUUCUACAGUUCAACGAUUCUAUGAUUCUCUUCCUUUACCCAGUGACGCUGUAACUCCAUCCCAGCGGGGGCCUGGCCCCGCUUCCCUGCUAAGAACUCUCCCAGUUGCAUGCAUUUGUCACUGUGUCACUGUGAUGUCAUAAAGCCUCUGCGGUCAGCCAGCAACUGGUGCUGCUGCCCGCCACUCAGUUGCUGCGCAGACACUGGUGCUGCUGGUGACUUGAUUGAGCUCAGGUCAGAGUGACGGCCAGAGAGCAAGUUGUAGGAAGGUGCAAUGCUCAGCCCGAGGCUUUCCCUACUCCUCGUCUUCUGCUUGCCCUUCCUGUUUGUGGGCAGCCUUGCCCAUUCCGGACGCCCCUCCUGGGCCACGGUUAUGUGGGAUGUGGAUCCCCAGGACGUGGAGAAGCCGGGCACUGGCAAGGCAAGCCGGUACUACCACCUACCCUACCCCCUGGACCAGCUUUGGUCUUCAUUUGAGCACCUGGACCCAUGGGGACCCGUGGAGGCGCUCUACAAGAGGAGCACAGAGCUGGGCCUUUUCCUCGUGGUGAUUUACCUGUGGAGAACACUCAGGAGGUGCCGCAGCAGAGAGGUGAGGAAUGGAGGUCAGGCAAGCCAGACGGUGCCCGAGUUUCUCAGGAAGGGGCACAGCCCAGAGGCAGGGAUCUCGGGGCCCCGAGGCCCCUGCCCUUUGCAUCACGCCCCCUGCUCUGUCAUUCCCAGGAGAGGAGCCAGGUACUCUCAGCUGCCCCAGAGACACACUGCCAGAACAGCUCCUGCAAACACUGCAAGCUGCUCCGCCAAAUGAAGGCAAACCCUGCCUUCAUGGAGAUAUACCUACAGCAUGUGAGACACAUGCAGGAGGAUCUUUGCAGGAGGCAAGAGAAGGCAAAGCCGUGAGAAGAUGGGGAAGAAAACAGAGACUCUUCUCUGCAUACCGGCACAAGCAUAGCUCCCAGGUAGCUCCAGAGCAGCUGUAAAGUGAAGGGGAUCCGGCCAGAGACACCACCACUGUGCAUAGGGAGGGCACUGCUACAGGACAGGAAAGGAGCAGGAAGCUGUCCAGCUCCAGAAGCAACAAGGCCGGAAGGAAAGAGACCCCUAAGACUGCUCAAUAUUGCUGUAUGCUUCUAGAAUAAAUGUGCUUGCUUUUAUUACAUCAAAAGCGCGCAUUUGCUUUCUCUCGGUCUCUUGUAGCAUGAGAGAGGGUGGUUCUGAAGCAGCGACUUCUUCCCACCUCACUUUCUGCUAAGGAGUGCUUUCCUGAACACUGUGGUGCCUGAAAUAGUGAACUGUGGCCCAAAGGAAAGACAUAUUCAGUAGUACUUCAGAGUCAUGUGAACUCAUCAAGCACGCAGCAACCUGGACACUGAAGAGUGCUGCUGACUGCUGGUAAUACCACUCAGCCCUACUGCCCAUGGACACAGCACUGAGGGCAAGCACAGGUCAGGGGGCGCUGAGGCAACAUCCCUGUGCUGGCACAGGUAGUCCUUACUGAGCAUUUUGGAUCACAGCCUCCUGGGCCCCAGUGGACAGGCAGAUCACAGAAUCACAGAAUGGUCUGGGUUGGCAGGGACCUUUAUGACUACCUAGUUCCAACCCUCCUGCUGUAGGCAGGGACACCUGCCUCUAGACCAGGUAGCUCAAAGCCCCAUCCAGCCUGGCCGUGAACGCCUCCAGAGAAGGGGCAUCCACAACCUCUCUGGGCAGCCUGUUCCUAUGUCUCACCGCCCUUGCGGGAAAGAAUUCCUUAACGUGGAAUGAUCGUAGAGUCCUCAGAGUUGGAAGGGACAUUGAAAGGUCACCUAUUCCAGUGGUCCCUGCAAUGAACAGGAGCAAUGCACAGCAUCAUCAGGUUGCCCAGGGUCUGAUCCAGCCAGGUGCAGGACAGCACAUGGCCUUGCUGAACUCCAUGAGGUUGGCACGGGCUCAUCUCUCAGGCCUGCCCAGGUCCCUCUGAGUGGCAUCCCUUCCCUCUAGCGUGUCAACUGCACCACUCAGCUUGGUGUCGUCUGCAAACUUGCUGAGGGUGCGCUCGAUCCCACUGUCUGUGUCGCCUAUAAAGAUGUGAAAGGGCACCGGUCCCAGCACCGAUCCCUGAGGAACACCACUCGUCAACAGUCUCCCCUUGGGCACUGAGCCAUUGACCGCAACUCUCUUGAGUGUGACCACACAGCCAGCUCCUUAUCCAGCAAGCGGUCCAUCCAUCAAAUCCAAUCUGGUGACCAGGAUGUUGCGUGAGACAGCGUCAAACGCUUUGAACAAGUCCAGGUGGAUAACAUCAGUUGCUCUUUGGUUGCCGAGCCGCUCUCCAUCAUAUUUGAAAUAUCAUGGCUGUGCGGUGCAGUCCCCGGUGACUGGGAAAAGGGAACAUUACUCCCAUUUUUUAGACAGGGAGAAAGGAAGACCUGGGGAACUACUGGCCGGUGAGCCUCACCUCUGUGCCUGGGAAGAUCAUGGAGCAGAUCCUCCUAGAAUCUACGUUAAAGCACAUACGGGAUAAAGAGGUGAUUUGAGACAUGGCUUCACCAAGGGCAGAUCGUGCCUGACCAAUCUGGUGGCCUUCUAUGAUGGGGUGAUGGCAUCGGUGAAUGGGGGAAGGUGACGGAUGUCAUCUACCUGGACUUCUGCAAAGCCUUUGACAUGGUCCCUCACCACAUCCUUCUCUCUAAAUUGGAGAGGCAUGGAUCUGAAGGAUGGACUGUUUGGUGGAUUAAGAAUUGGUUGCCAGGUCGCAGCCAAAGGGUUGUGAUCAGUGGUUCUGCGUCAGCGUGGAGGCCAGUCACAAGCGGUGUCCCUCAGGGGUCGGUCUUGGGACUGGUGCUCUGCAACAUAUGUAUCAGUGACUCGAUGCCAGUGAUGGCAUCGAGUGCACCCUCAGCAAGCUUGCAGACAACACCAAGCUGAGUGGUGCAGCCAAUACACUGGGGGGAAGGGAAGCCAUCCAGAGGGACCUAGACAGGCUGGAGAAGUGGGCCCACGCAAAAGGCGUUGCACUUGGGCCGGGGCAACCCCAGGUGUUCACACAGACUGGGCGAAGAACCCCUUGAGAGCAGCCCUGUGGAGAAGGACUUGAGAAUCCUGGCAGACAAGAAGCUGAACAUGAG
rnacentral:lncRNA from 1 species